CACAAUUUUGCCUAGUAGAUCAUAGCACCGUUCUCUCUCUCUCUGUGGAGACAGUCCUUUUCGACAAGGAAGAGCUACAAAGAAAAUUGAGUAAUAGACUGAGCAUGUAUCAUGCAGCUAACCUUACUUACUAAGGAAUGUGGUCUAGCAAUAGUAGUUGUCUUCAAGAUUCACAAUCAAAUUUUGGUUUAAACCUACAAGAUCCAAGAAGAGGAUAAGAAAAGAUGCUGAGAAGAGCCCUUCAGAAAAGUUCAAGGAAGAAAAUGUGUACUGGGGAAAAGAAAAAAGAUUCCAUUUCUGUGGAUGAGAGAACCAUCCCCAUGGAUUUGGUCUCACAGGCACCUACUGUUUGUGGGAAACGAACGAGAAGAAGUUUCAACACCAUUGACAAGACUAUUGGGCAAAGAAGGAAGCUAAGUGAGGAACAUUUAGACAAGCUGGACCGAAGUGUUGAAUCCAGGGAUCUAAUCACCCAGUUGCCGGAAUACAUCAUCCAUCACAUCCUUUCUUUCCUUGAUGAUACAAAAGAUGCAGCUCGAACGAGUAUCUUGUCCAGAAAGUGGAGGCAGAUAUGGACUUCAUUCUCCGUUUUGAUAUUUGACCAACACAAGAUUCAACAACAAGAGGGACGUCAGGAUAUAAGGAACAUGAAGAAGGUAUUUACUGACUUUGUUGACAACUCUCUGAAGAACCACCUUGAGCGAAAAUUAAGUAUACAGAAAUUGGUGCUACAUAUUACCAGAUAUGAUUUAGAACUGGCCCCUCAUAUGGAGCAGUGGAUUAGCAUUGCCAUUGAAAACAACAUGCAAAAACUGUAUCUCCGCAAGGUCUUUGUUGAUCAACAGAUUAUUGACAAUCUGAUUUCCAGCUGCCCUUUAAUUGAGGAUUUAAGAUUCAUACACUGCACAGGGUUGAAGGUUCUGCGGGUUUCAGCUCUUCUUAAACUUGACAGGGUUGAGGUACACCAUUGCCAUGGACUGGAAGAGAUUGAAGUCAAAGCUCCAAAUCUUCAAACUUUUUGGUAUUGUGGGAAGGAAUCCAUGCACUGCAAAAUUGAUUUGAUUGCUUGUGUCUUUUUAAAAAGAUUAACAUUGGAGGAUGGCAACAUGACAGAUGAAAUGUUUCGAGAUCGGUUAGCUAGUUUUCCUUUCCUUGAGAAACUGGACCUAAGCAAAUGCAAUAAAUUGAAGAAUAUAACGAUUUCGAGUGUAUGGCUUAGAAGACUUGUCUUGAGAGGAUAAAAAAAUCUAGUGGAGGCUGACAUAGAUGCUCCAAAUCUCUUUUCAUUCAAGUUUAAGGGUGAUAAAAUGCCUUUCUCAUUUUCAAAUCCUUUAUCAUUAAAGGAGGCCAAAUUUUCUUUUGAACCAGUACAUAUACGUAGCUAUAACCACCUUGGAGGUGAGGAUGCUCUCUGGUUUGCUAGAUUGAGAAAACUUCUUGAGAAGUUAAAACACUCCAAUGGCUUAAAAUUGGUUGUCCGCUCCAGAAAGAAUGUCAUUAUACACGAAAAUUUGGAAGAAAUUUUGCUUCCUCCACAAUCUGAUCUGAAGCUUGAAAUAAUCAAACCAUCAAUGGGCCUUGAAGAUUUAUUGGAUAAUUUGUUGAGGACAUGGCACCCAGAGAUUCUAUCAGUAGUAUCAUCUCCCAGCAGUGAAUUCCCCAAGUUGGUACAUGAAAAGAUGAUGCACAGAGGAGAAAAUCCAGACUGCUGUACGUACAACACUCGAAAUAAAUGUUGGCGACACUUUCUGAAGGGUGUCAAGAUUGAAAACAUUGAAGCAGCCACUGGUAAAAGGACAUUUGGCUGGAUUCCUUGGUUGAAGUCAUCUCCGACUGUUCUGCACCAGACAACCGGUUAUAGACUAUCUUGGGAAUCUGUUGAACGUAUGGUAGGCAAGUGGCGGAUGAUGAGGUUGUACUUUUAAUCCUAUAUCAGUGUCUAAAGUUAUCUAAUACUGUAGCUCUACUAUUUAAACUUACUCCUGUUUUUUUUUUUUUUUUUUUGGUUAAAGGAUUAAAAUAUAAUCGGAACACAUUAUUGAGAUUUUUAAAUAUGAGUAGUCACUGAUUUGGUUAAUUCAUGAACUAGUACGCUCCGAAUCAGUAAAAUGAUUGGUUAAUUCAUGAACUAGUUAGCAGGUGUAUGUUCUUCACUAUCUUCAUAAUUAACAUUAGGCAUACAAUAUCAUUCACAAUA